rnacentral:rRNA from 1 species
GAUGAACGCUAGCUACAGGCUUAACACAUGCAAGUCGAGGGACCGGCGCACGGGUGAGUAACACGUAUCCAACCUGCCCUUUUCGCGUGGAUAGCCUUUCGAAAGAAAGAUUAAUACCCGAUAUAAAGGAUGGGGAUGCGUUCCAUUAGGUUGUUGGUGAGGUAACGGCCCACCAAGCCUUCGAUGGAUAGGGGUUCUGGGAGGAAGGUCCCCCACAUUGGAGCUGGGACACGGGCCAAAAUCCUACGCGAGGCAGCAGUGAGGGAUAUUGUGCAAUGGGGGGUAGACUGAAACAGCCAAGUGGCGCGAAGGAUGAAAGGGUAUGGGGUGUUAAAUUUUUUUAUAUAAGAAAGUGUAGUAGAUGAAUAAGGAUCGGCUAACUCCGUGCCAGCAGCCGCGGUAAUAC